rnacentral:rRNA from 1 species
CAAGGAGUCUAGCAUGCGCGCGAGUCAUUGGGAUAAACCCAGAGGCGAAAUGAAAGUGAACAGCGUCGCGUCGACCGCAGGGAAGAUGGCGGCCGGCCGUCCGCUCGCAUUCCCGAGGCGUUUCGAGAAAUGCCUCCGUUGCGAUUAUCGAGACGCACUGAGAGCGCGCACGCUGGGACCCGAAAGAUGGUGAACUAUGCCUGG